rnacentral:rRNA from 1 species
CCUACUGGAGGCUGCAGUGGGGAAUAUUGCACAAUGCGGGAAACCCUGAUGCAGCGACGCCGCGUGAGUGACGAAGUAUUUCGGUACGUAAAGCUCUAUCAGCAGGGAAGAAAAUGACGGUACCUGACUAAGAAGCUCCGGCUAACUCCGUUCUAGACGCCGCGGGAAUACGUCGGGGGAGAGCGUUCUCCGGAUUGACUGGGUGUAAAGUGAGCGUAGACGGCUGGACAAGUCAUGAGUGAAAUCCCAGAGCUAAACCUAGGUACAGCUUGGGAAACUAUGCGGCUGGAGUGCCAGAGAGGUAAGCAGAAUUCCUGGUGUAGCGGUGAAAUGCGUAGAUAUCAGGAGGAACACCGUUAGCGAAGGCGGCAAACUGGCCGGUAACUGACGCUGAGGUGCGAAAGCGUGGGUAGCAAACAGGAUUAGAUACCCGUGUAGUC